UACAGAGGGGGCAAGCGUUUGUUCGGAAUUACUGGGCGUAAAGGGCGCGUAGGCGGCCUGCUAAGUCGAACGUGAAAUCCCCGAGCUCAACUCGGGAACUGCGUCCGAUACUGACAGGCUUGAAUCCGGGAGAGGGAUGCGGAAUUCCAGGUGUAGCGGUGAAAUGCGUAGAUAUCUGGAGGAACACCGGUGGCGAAGGCGGCAUCCUGGACCGGUAUUGACGCUGAGGCGCGAAAGCCAGGGGAGCAAACGGG
rnacentral:rRNA from 1 species